GGGCUGGCUUUAGCCCAGCGGUUCCUGGGUCCAAUUGGUCCGGUGGUUUGAGACCCGCAGGCGCUCUCCAGUCCUUUA
ensembl:misc_RNA Vault Vault RNA